UACGUAGGGCGCGAGCGUUGUCCGGAUUUAUUGGGCGUAAAGCGCACGUAGGCGGCUUUGUAAGUUAGAGGUGAAAGCCCGGGGCUCAACUCCGGAAUUGCCUUUAAGACUGCAUCGCUCGAAUUGUGGAGAGGUAAGUGGAAUUCCGAGUGUAGAGGUGAAAUUCGUAGAUAUUCGGAAGAACACCAGUGGCGAAGGCGACUUACUGGACACAUAUUGACGCUGAGGUGCGAAAGCGUGGGGAGCAAACAGG
rnacentral:rRNA from 1 species